rnacentral:misc_RNA from 1 species
GGGUACUGCUGGUUGUCCAAAGGAAUAGGAAUUACAAAUCUUUGGGUGCCAAAGUGUGCGCUUCUUAAAACACCAAAUGAAGGAGCUUUUAGAGAUCCAAAUACGGAGGAGUCUGAGACAUUAUCAUCCCUGGACCACAACAAAGGUUCAUUGGCCGUGUAUUAACAUCAUAUUUCUUUUCUAAUGUUUGUUAAGUGGAUGAGCCCAGAGAUAUGUUUGUUUGACCAGAUUAGCAUACAUUCCUGCAUUAAAGGCAUCCGGUCUGUUCCAUAGAUGAAUCAGC